rnacentral:lncRNA from 1 species
UUAUAUCCAAAUAAAUACACUAAGACUUAAAGUCUAAGCUAAUAUCCCGAAGAAACUAAAGAUCUAUUGCUGACUAAAGUUACACCACUAUUGCUGUUAGCAGGCAUAACAUUUCUUCAGCUAUGUUACUCACAUGAGAUUUAUUACUAUACUUUUACAACUGAAGGUUUCAAAGAUAAUACUUUUACACACUCAAAGGAUUUGACUUACAAAUGCACAUUUCUGGAAAAUAUAGGAUUUUCUAGGGAAUCCUACUACUCAUAAACAUAAGUUUCAGUUUCUAUAUUAUGUUUUUGUAAAACUCUUUUACACAAACAACGACACUAAAAUCUUAUGAACUCACCAUCUUUAUGCUGAUACUCGUUUUCAAAAUAACUUGUAUCCUCAGGUCAAAGAUAGACAGGUACUGGUGUAGCUUUUGGAGANAUGAUUGUAUGAUUAUUAAGGAAAGUAUUGCAAGGUUAGCAAUAUUAAUUAUAGAAAACAAGAGUCAUACUUUGCAAAGUCGCAAUAGUUGAAUAAUUGUUUUGCUAUAAUUAAGGGAGAGAAUAUUAUGCUUCAUUUCAAAUCUAAAGGAUUAGGUUGAGAAAUGUUAAUAAAUUUAGUCAAAGGUACAUAGUGUGUUCUUAAAAUUUCGAUUAUGAUUACGGCAUUCCUCUUCACAAUUCGAAUUUUGAGAACAUAGCAAAUAAAACACUAUGCAUCGUGUCCCAUACGCUUCGGGUAUAGGAUUGAUUGCAAAUGCUUUAAUGUUUGACCAUUCUAAAAUUUUCCAAAUGUCUAGCGCAUUUAAAGCGAAAAAGGACUAGAAUUGGUUUUGACUAAAAUAAUUAAACAACUAUCAAAGGACAAUCCAAAGUUCGACGAUGAUUGGUUGCUUGUGAAUAGUUGGAAGCAUGGUAUUGGAUCGACCAUAUGGACAUUAUUAUGAAUAGAAAAGAUUCUAUUAAGAAUGAGUUGUCAUAUGGAAAAUAUGGAAAUGUUUCCAUNAAGUCUAAAAACUUACCAACACUACCACAAGAUCGUUAGAACAAGAAUACUAUAGGAGUAUUAUGCAUUCUACUAACUAAGUAUGUGAUAACUAAAAGGGUCGUUACUGGUAGGACAAUGGUUGCUAAGUGGAUACACCACGGUUACAUGUGACUAGGGCGCCAUAGACUUAGAAUCUGUGGCCUUUGCUUCAUUUCUUAUUCUUGUUUGAUUGGGAAUUUGGGUGUUUCAUUAAGGACUAUCUUUAUAUCUAAUCUAAACUUGUCCUUCUUCCUUUCAGAUGUCUUCCAACAAUGAUGAUGUUGUAUUAGUGUCUAAGUCCAUGACUAUUUUGGUAUGUACUUGACCCGAUGGUGCAUGGUCCUUUUGGGUUGCCNAGCAAGAAUUUGAUAUUCUUUCACUUAUGGAAAUGGAUUUGGAGUUGUGAAAUGAGAAUGAUUGGAAAUGUGUUCAAUUUGAUCUAUUUCACAAAGAAAGAACCAUAGGUAAACAUUGUGUGCAUGCUAGGAGCAUGGGACAAGUGUAGUAAUUCAAGUAAGAAGUCGAUUACCCGAAACGACAAAUAAUGAGUAAUCGAUAUGAUGAUAAAUAAAAGGUGUUUUAUUUAUGCUCAAAGGUUUGAGGCCAUAUGGGAUUAGUAUUAUUCUUGUGUUUCACUUUGCAUGUUUUGACUUCCUGAACAAUUUAAUUGGUUAAGAACAGUAAAAUUAUUCGCACGGGCCACAGUCGUUCAUAUGUUGGAAGUAGGUAUGAAUGAAGACUGUCGUGAAUUGGUGUGUGGAUUGUCUAAAAGAGUAUUAGACAUAGGCAAAUGUUUGCUGCAACGUUCAUGAGUGCUUAUGAAUAUGAAUUUGCGCAUUGGAUUAAACCCACGCUCAUUUGGAUCACUCCAUGGAUUGUAUCACGAGUGAUUGGUGAGACGAUAACAUCUUAUAUUCUUGAAACCGAGAUGUGUGAGUUGUAUCUUGCUAAUCGGUUGCACAUUGAUAAUAUGUAAACUACUCGAAUAGUCCAUGUCGUUUGGGUAAUUUACAUGUAUGGUCCUUAUUAUUAUUUUUUUUAACUCUGGAUGAUUCUUAUGGUUUGGUUUUGUUUCGCUUUUAAUCCUCACCCGAGUUAAUAUGACUAUCAUUCUCUUACUAAUAUUUUUCUAUAAUUUUUUUUAAUUCAUUUUUUUUAUGUUACUAUUAGAUAGAGUAAAUUAUUAAUGUUUAAAAUAGGCCCACCCACAACCCCAUGUCGCUUUCCUUCUUCAGUGAAAUACCACCACUACCGUUGAAACCACCUCCCACCAGAGAAACAAUCCCCGACCACCAUUAUACGGUUCUUGUGCAUUGGUCAGCUCCAAUGAUAUCCGUAACUACUAGUCAUAAAGGAUAUAUCCAUAUAUGAUUAGAUAAGUAGACAAAAAUUAUGUAGUCAAAGUUUAUUUGUUCAUUCUCAUAAUUCAGAAGCAAUAUGUAUUAGCCCCUCAAUGAUUUGGUACUAUCUAAAGUGUUUGGUCGAGCCUUGACUAAAUUGAUGUGUUCGAUUUAGAAGUUAGAUUUGAUUGUCAGAAAUUGUUAAUCGCGGGAAACAAAAUGUUGAAUAUUGAGAUUUUACCCUAUCAAUGUCUCAUGUUCAUAGAGAUAUCUAGAAUGAAGGAAUAAUUCAUGACUUGUCUAAGGACUAAGUUUUGAUUCCAGCAAGAGUUUAGCAGUUGCAUUGGAUAACUACUCUUUGUUCAUCAUCUUCAUGUUCACAUUUUUCACCAUAUUCUAAAAUAGAAUCAACAUCAUCAAUAGAAACCACAUCAUCUUCAAGAUCCGGAUGAAUCCAAUCAAACAAAGAUUCAUGAUAGUGAUCUACAUACAUAUUCAAUCUCUUGUUUCUAAUGGUAGCUUCAAGAAACUCAUGAAAAUCUCACUCAUUUUGUAUGGCAUGCAAUCCCUAAGCCACACUUACUUUAGGUAGACAAUAAUAUACAACUUUGCACUUAUACUUAGUAAUUUCCUCAAGAAAAGAGAUAAAUCGGGGAAGGUGAUCUUGUUCACAUCUAUGUAUUGUACAAAACUCUAGUUACAUCAAAAUACACCAAUGGUGUAGGUGAGAACGUGUCAUUAUAGUGUACAUCCAAGAUUGGAUUUUCAUCUUAUUCCAUGGUAGAUUUCAUUUGCGACUCAAGAAGCUUGGGCAUAAUGGAGGAAUGGUGGCUGAGUAAAUAAAUCCUAAUUUCCCGUUAUCAUCAUAAUAUGGGUGUAAUAUGUGCUUAUUUACGUAAGCUACCAUCUGGACACCACAUAUGUAAUUCAUUUCACCAAAAUAAAGGGGAAAUCAUAUAUGACCGACAAACCAGGUUUAGGUGUGUAACCGGUCAAAAGGAUUUCAUGAGUAUAAAAAAACAAGUGUGAGGGCCUAUUUUACAUAAAUAAAUAAAUAAAUAAAAAGGAGUCAACGUGUACAAAAGGAGAACCAGGUUACCCUUUUAGGUCAUUUUCCCCUAAACUAAUUAUGUCAAAAAUUAGAGCAUACCCCCCCCCCCCCCCCCAAAAAAAAAAAAAAUCUCUCUCCUUUCCUUAUUUAAAUGUAUCGGAGUUAAUGAGAAAAUGAGAAAUCAAUUUUGAAAGAUAGAUGAUGAAAUUAGGAGUAAAAGUGAAAAUCCAAUGGUGUUUCUAAGCUAAUUCUUAAAGUAGAAGCUUGUAAGGUAGCUUUCCUUUUCCUUGUUGUCUUCUAGGUUUACAAAUGUUCCAUAAAUCUUAAUAUCUAUGAUGAAACUCAUGAUUAUAUUAAGUUAUGUGUUCUAUUAUAGGUUUAUAACACCAAUCCAAUGAUGUAACUGCAUGACCUCAUGAGUUAGUUGACAUGCUAUAAUACCCCACAAUAGAAGGGAGUCCCAGAGAGGAAGAACAGGCAUUUGGCAGAGAUUUCGAGUAGUAUGAUCCAUGAUAAAAGUGUUUUGGUAAAGUUUUGGGUGGAAACAAUGAUAAUUGUAGCAUAAGUAAUUAAUAGAAUUCCACAGCAAGGUCUCUCAUAUCGGUGUACAUUCGAAAAGAUGUGGAAAAUGAAACCAAAUGUAAGUCUUCUGAGAGUUUUUGGCUGUGAUAGCUUUCCAUUUUCCAUCUCACACCCUCAUCAAAAUUGACAUUUUCAAAAACAUGUCUAAACACAUACCACGUGCAUUCACUUACCAAUUUCUAUAAAUAUUAGGUCAUCUCCAUCUCUAGAAAUGUGGGUUUUCAAUGCAGAAUCUAAGCAUUUUCCUUUUUUAUUGGUUGCCAAGAUUUCACAUUGACACCUUUGUAGUCCGUUACUUGUCCUUUGUAGUGAACACAUGCUUCUUGCUCACUGGUCGCUUCACCAUGCUCUUGCUCAUCGAUUAUUAGGUAACAACCACGGUGUAGAUGUAACUACAUUGAAGUGAAAAGUAUUGGUGUUCUAUCAAAUGUAUUGACAAAGAUCCAAACAUUGUUCGUAAAGAAAUAAUUACAUUAGAGAAUGACACAAGAAAACCAAAUGAAGAAUAUAAUUGUGCCAUUAAAUUGGGGAAAAACAUUCAUUACAACCUUAGUCUAAAUGCCUUGUUUUAUAAUUCAUAGUAUUUGUGUUCCGUUUGACACUCAUUUAAUCAAGCAGAAAGUCUUCUAAUCAUGAAAUUUGAAAAGUACUAAUUAUAACAUUUUAUUCACAUUUAAUCAAGCACAAAGCCUUCUCAGCAUGAAAUUUGAAAAGUACUAAUUAUGGAAGUUCAACACAAAUUGAACAACAUUGAGCUUUAUAUAACUUAUUGACUUAUUGUCAUAUAUUUUCAACUAAAUGACAAGAAAGUCUUCUAAUCAUGAAAUUUGAAAUGACAAGAAAUUCACAUUUAAUCAAGCACAAAGCCUUCUCAGCAUGAAAUUUGAAAAGUACUAAUUAUGGAAGUUCAACACAAAUUGAACAACAUUGAGCUUUAUAUAACUUAUUGACUUAUUGUCAUAUAUUUUCAACUAAAUGACAAGAAAGUCUUCUAAUCAUGAAAUUUGAAAAGUACUAAUUAUGGAAGUUCAACACAAAUUGAACAACAUUGAGCUUUAUAUAACUUAUUGACUUAUUGUCAUAUAUUUUCAACUAAAUGACAAGAAAGUCUUCUAAUCAUGAAAUUUGAAAAGUACUAAUUAUGGAAGUUCAACACAAAUUGAACAACAUUGAGCUUUAUAUAACUUAUUGACUUAUUGUCAUAUAUUUUCAAUUAAAUGACAAGAAAGUCCUGAACUUUAUUUUUUUGACAGUAAAGUUCUAACCACCGACAGUUUUUGACACUUUUACCAUUUUUUUCUGGUUAGUCGGUAAUUAGAUUGUUUUUGUCAAAAUAAUAAAGUUUAUGACUUUCUUGUCAAAUCGUGAAUUAAGACUUUACUAUAAAAAAAAAGUUUAGGAUAUUUUUGUCAAAUCGUUGAAAAUAUUGGGACUUUAGUGUAUUUUCAUAGCCCAAGAAAUUUUAAUUGUGAUUUUUGUCACAACAUCACUGUUUUUCUUACCAUCAUCAUCUUUACCCUAAUAUAAUCACUAGUAACUUGGUGUUAUAAAACAUAUUGUUGUGUGUGAUUCGGUGAGUGAGUGCAAGCGAGCAUUGUAUCAAAGUUUAUCCCUUCCUUUUAUCCAAAGUAGGAUAAAAGUGAUACCUUUGGGCCCCUCGAUGGUUUAGUGAUGACAAACGUAAAUGCUCGGCCGGGCUAGGGCUAAUUUGAUUUGUUCAAUUAGUCAUUCGUCAUAAAUCGGAAAUCGAGAAAUAAUACAAAGAGAAUGAUUUGAAAUCAUAUCUCAUACGAUAUCUAGAAUGGGGGAAUAUAUGAUCCCUUAUCUAAAGGACACGCGUAUCUGAUAGGAUCAGAGUUGACAGUGGCUUUGGAAAGCUACGAUUGCAUAUCAGGAUCUGAAGUCAUACGCAAAAUAGUUAUUAGACGUAUCCAAGUGGGAGACUGUUGGAUUAGUGUCUAAGUCCAUGACUAUUUUGGUAUGUACUUGACCCGAUGGUGCAUGGUCCUUUUGGGUUGCCUUCACCAAAGCAACUUAAUAGGAUGAAUCAUGGAGAGAAAGGAUUAAAUAUGAAUUAUUAAUUAUUAUGAGAAUAAUAUAUUAAAGGAGAAAUCAUAUUGUUUAAUUAAUAUUAGUCAAUAAUUAAUUAGUAAUUAGUUUUGUGACUAAAAGAGAUUAAUUAAACUUAAGGGACUGGAAUUGUAAUUAUAAGAUAAUUGCAAUUUGGGCUAUGGAUUGUCUUAUAUUGAGGAGUAGACGAAUUCUAUGGGGAAACGCAUGAGGAAAUCGUCCAAGGCCUUAAGGAAAGGAGUCCAUGGGUUGCUUAGGGCUUAAGCAUCCAAAUUAGGGUUUCCUUGUUAGAUAACCCUAAUAGCCUCACUAUAUAUAGAACCCUUAAGGCUCAAAAACGUGGGGAACUUCUCUUCUAGGGCUAGAACAUGUUUUGGGCAGCCUCUAUCCUCUCUCCUCUUCAUCCUCUUGCUCUUGGUGUUUGUGAACCAUUAGAGGAGUGCCAUUUGUGACUCUAAGCUUUCUAA